rnacentral:rRNA from 1 species
CGACGGGGUGUAGACAACAGGGAUUGCCUUAGUAACGGCGAGUGAAGCGGUAACAGCUCAAAUUUGAAAUCUGGCCCUUGGGUCCGAAUUGUAAUUUGUAGAGGAUGAUUUUGGUGCGGUAUCUUCCGAGUUCCUUGGAACAGGACGCCUUAGAGGGUGAGAGCCCCGUACGGUUGAAUGCCUAGCCUCUGUAAAUCUCCUUCGACGAGUCGAGUAGUUUGGGAAUGCUGCUCUAAAUGGGAGGUAAAUUUCUUCUAAAGCUAAAUAUUGGCCAGAGACCGAUAGCGCACAAGUAGAGUGAUCGAAAGAUGAAAAGCACUUUGAAAAGAGGGUUAAAUAGCACGUGAAAUUGUUGAAAGGGAAGGAUUUGUGACCAGACUUUUUCUGGGCGGAUCAUCCGGGGUUCUCUCCGGUGCACUUCGCCCAGUAAAGGCCAGCAUCGGUUUUCGGCGUGGGAUAAAAGCAGUAGGAAUGUGGCUCUCUACGGGGAGUGUUAUAGCCUAUUGUAUAAUACCGCGCUGGGGACCGAGGUUCGCGCUUCUGCAAGGAUGCUGGCGUAAUGGUUAUCAAUCACCCGUCUUGAAACACGGACCAAGGAGUCGAACAUUUGUGCGAGUGUUUGGGUGUUAAACCCUCACGCGUAAUGAAAGUGAACGGAGGUGAGAGCCCUUACGGGUGCAUCAUCGACCGAUCCUGAAGUUUUCGGAUGGAUUUGAGUAAGAGCAUAACUGUUCGGACCCGAAAGAUGGUGAACUAUGCGUGGAUAGGGUGAAGCCAGAGGAAACUCUGGUGGAGGCUCGCAGCGGUUCUGACGUGCAAAUCGAUCGUCAAAUCUGCGCAUGGGGGCGAAAGACUAAUCGAACCAUCUAGUAGCUGGUUACCGC